UACGUAGGGUGCGAGCGUUGUCCGGGAUUAUUGGGCGUAAAGAGCUCGUAGGCGGCUUGUCGCGUCGGUUGUGAAAGCCCGGGGCUUAACCCCGGGUCUGCAGUCGAUACGGGCAGGCUAGAGUUCGGUAGGGGAGAUCGGAAUUCCUGGUGUAGCGGUGAAAUGCGCAGAUAUCAGGAGGAACACCGGUGGCGAAGGCGGAUCUCUGGGCCGAUACUGACGCUGAGGAGCGAAAGCGUGGGGAGCGAACAGG
rnacentral:rRNA from 1 species